AACGAACGCUGGCGGCAUGCCUAACACAUGCCAGUCGAACGAGACCUUCGGGUCUAGUGGCGCACGGGUGCGUAACGCGUGGGAACCUGCCCUUAGGUUCGGAAUAACUCCCCGAAAGGGGUGCUAAUACCGGAUAAUGUCUUCGGACCAAAGAUUUAUCGCCUUUGGAUGGGCCCGCGUUGGAUUAGCUAGUUGGUAGGGUAAAAGCCUACCAAGGCGACGAUCCAUAGCUGGUCUGAGAGGAUGAUCAGCCACACUGGGACUGAGACACGGCCCAGACUCCUACGGGAGGCAGCAGUGGGGAAUAUUGGACAAUGGGCGAAAGCCUGAUCCAGCAAUGCCGCGUGAGUGAUGAAGGCCUUAGGGUUGUAAAGCGCUUUUACCCGGGAUGAUAAUGACAGUACCGGGAGAAUAAGCUCCGGCUAACUCCGUG
rnacentral:rRNA from 1 species